rnacentral:ncRNA from 1 species
UGAGAUUGAGGAAAGAGAAAACCAUUCUAUGUUUACUAUUAUUACUAUUGGCUUAGCUAUAUUUUCAAUAAUCAAAAUCAUCUUGUUUUUCUAUUCAUAUCAACGAUUUGAGCGUAAGCAAAAAAGGAAAGUUGAAUCCACUGACCAGCAAAAACAGGCCCAAGAAAAUGACGCCGUCCCUUCAAAAAAAUUUCCAUUUUAAAAAGAAGCUUGGAAAGUGUACAAAGUACAACUCUCCAAGCUUUU